rnacentral:tRNA from 1 species
GCGCGCCGCUGGCGAUCGCCUUGCGCCACGCCGCCUCGGUCGGCGUGCGAUCCUCGGGAUGGAGCGCGACCAACCAGCGCGCACC